UGGACGAAAGUCUGACGGAGCAACGCCGCGUGAGUGAUGAAGGAUUUCGGUCUGUAAAGCUCUGUUGUUUAUGACGAAGUGCAGUGUGUGAACAAUGCAUUGCAAUGACGGUAGUAAACGAGGAAGCCACGGCUAACUACGUGCCAGCAGCCGCGGUAAUACGUAGGUGGCGAGCGUUGUCCGGAAUUAUUGGGCGUAAAGAGCAUGUAGGCGGCUUAAUAAGUCGAGCGUGAAAAUGCGGGGCUCAACCCCGUAUGGCGCUGGAAACUGUUAGGCUUGAGUGCAGGAGAGGAAAGGGGAAUUCCCAGUGUAGCGGUGAAAUGCGUAGAUAUUGGGAGGAA
rnacentral:rRNA from 1 species